rnacentral:sRNA from 16 species
ACGAUGCGAAACGGGUUCCCUCCGACCCCCGGGGGACCGAUACCCUGGCGGGGUGCGCCCCCGUACGGGUGGGCCGCAUAGCCGACAGCCGUCGCAACCAGGGAGUCGCCCCAUG